rnacentral:tRNA from 1 species
GGUCGCUUGGCCGAGUGGCGAAGGCGUGCGACUUCCCCUUCCCCUGCAGCGAGAGUUCGAAUCUCUCAGGCUGCA